AGUAAACUCAAAUAACGGUAUGUAGCUAGCUAGUUAAUCAUUUUUAUUGAUUUGAUAACUAAAAUAGUUUAUCAAAAGAUAGGUAUUUUCUCACCUGAAGCUUUCAGCGAACAUGUACUGUUUACUUCCGCUAACGAAGUUAACCGAGAACGGCUAACGUUACGUUAGCUUUAUUGAACUACCAAGGCGGGAAUGUCGCUAAAACAAUGAUGUGCUUGUUUUUCCUCUUUUUUCAACAUACAGCGGUUCGUAAACUUUUCUGUUUUAAACGCAUGUAUCGUUUUGCUUUGGGCAAUUUUCCAAGCAUAAUCGCUAGUCAAAUGUAAAGCACCAGGGCCCAGUGUGCAGGCUAGCUUGCUGGCUAUAGCCACCUCUAUGAAUUAUAUAUUGAAGGAUGCUCUAGCAAAGGCGGUGGAGUGGGUGGUAACGUUACCCCCCUCCCCGCCAACCCAAGGCCAUAUAAAACAGGGAUUGCUGUGUUUGGGAACAACUUCACGUGCGGUAAGUCGCUAUUAGGAUGCAUUCCGUUCUUCUGCCAGAUGCCCCUUAUGUGGCGGUCUGACGAAGUCGGCUCCAAACAAAAAUGACGUAAUAAACACGUGGAGUAAUAGGUAAAAUCGGUGCAUUCAAGAAGCCUCUGAUACAGAUGGUCUUUGUUCCGCAAGUCCCCGCUAGACCUUGGCCCCAGCAGAUGUCAACACCACAAGCCAUUUUAAGAAGCCACCAGACACACCAGGGAGAAAUGUGGAGGGUGUGGACAUCCUUUGCCAAGGAUGGACGCCUUCCUUUUCUCUCCUCCUCUGUCAUGAUAAUCGGAGGCCUCCUUCCACAGUUUUAACCCUUAAGUGAACAUUUACUUUUAAAUAUAAGAAAACAUUAACUAAACAUUUUACUGUUUAGAAUGAAAAGAUAUGUCCAGUGUGGGGCUCAAAUUCUUAUUUCAGUAAUAUUCAAAUUCAAGAAC
ensembl:lncRNA